rnacentral:lncRNA from 1 species
CAGAAAUGAAAUUUCAGUUCAAGUUUGGCACUAAGGGACUGAUCGGAGUCAAACCAUAUGCUGUGGCUUUUGCUCCAUGGAAAUCUCAACUAUACUGCAAGAAUAAUUAUUCCUACUUAAUGAAGUUACAGAAGAGAAUGUGGUGCUGGACGGUACUGACUGCAUGGGGAGAGGCCAUACCACAGAAACCUCAAUCUGCCUGAGCCGUGACUCUGAGAGCUGGAGUACCACUGGACAAGACCAUUUAUUUAAUAAGAAGAAUGUUCUCCUGGCCUGAGAUGCAAUAUAAGUGAGUAUGUAUUUUUUUUCAUAGAGUUAAUGUUUACGGCAGAGGGCUAAAGCAUUGAAAAUAAGGAACUGAAAUGGAAACUCUGACAUCACUUUAACGGCAGUCCUGCUGCCUUACUGGGGAGAAAAAUAUUAGCUCUUGUCUAACUUACCUUUUCCAUAAGGUGUAAAAAGCACCCUAUACAGAGGGAGUAUAUGAAACCCAUAGCUAGUCUGAUUGCUUGCAUGCUAUUCAUAUACACGCCCGUUGUAAGCUGGCACUGGGUGAACCCGCUGAUUCUAACCAUAUGGCUGCCUGCAGAAGUGCA